GGUAGAGCACAUGACUUUUAAUCAUGGUGUCCGGAGUUCGACUCUCCGAUGGGUCACCA
rnacentral:tRNA from 1 species